UACGUAGGGUGCAAGCGUUAAUCGGAAUUACUGGGCGUAAAGCGUGCGCAGGCGGUUAUGUAAGACAGGUGUGAAAUCCCCGGGCUUAACCUGGGAACUGCAUUUGUGACUGCAUAGCUAGAGUACGGUAGAGGGGGAUGGAAUUCCACGUGUAGCAGUGAAAUGCGUAGAGAUGUGGAGGAACACCGAUGGCGAAGGCAGCCCCCUGGGCCGAUACUGACGCUCAGGCACGAAAGCGUGGGGAGCAAACAGG
rnacentral:rRNA from 1 species